rnacentral:snRNA from 1 species
GGGCAAUCUGACAGCAAAAUGUCACCCUAUUGAUUUCCAGAGUUGAUUCUGCUAAUCUGGCUGGCUCAACAGGUGGGGGUUCCUUCUUCCGGGACCCAUCUGUGUCCCUCUGAAAACCAUGUACUUGGUCAAAAGCCAUGUGCUUGGCUGUCCCUCCCCAAAUAGAGCAGACUACUCUCUGUUUGAGAGCACAUGAGUAGCUGCAUGCCCCUGUUAGAACCUCCAAACUCUCAAGGUCCAUUUUUGGGAGAAUGUUGGGUGGUCAAGCUUCCAAGACUCCAGACACAUCCAAAUGAUUUAUUGCACAUGGCAGUUCGUCUU